rnacentral:rRNA from 1 species
UACGGGGGGGGCAAGCGUUGUUCGGAAUUACUGGGCGUAAAGGGCUCGUAGGCGGCCAACUAAGUCAGACGUGAAAUCCCUCGGCUUAACCGGGGAACUGCAUCUGAUACUGGAUGGCUUGAGAUUGGGAGAGGGAUGCGGAAUUCCAGGUGUAGCGGUGAAAUGCGUAGAUAUCUGGAGGAACACCGGUGGCGAAGGCGGCAUCCUGGACCAACACUGACGCUGAGGAGCGAAAGCCAGGGGAGCGAACGGG